CCUACGGGUGGCUGCAGUCGAGGAUCUUCGUCAAUGGGCGAAAGCCUGAACGAGCGAUGCCGCGUGCGCGAUGAAGGCCUUCGGGUUGUAAAGCGCGAAGGUGGGGAGAAAAGCCGAAAGGUUUGAUCUAUCCACAGUAAGCUCGGGCUAAGUUCGUGCCAGCAGCCGCGGUAAGACGAACCGAGCGAACGUUGUUCGGAAUCACUGGGCUUAAAGGGCGCGUAGGCGGGCUGUCAAGUCUGGGGUGAAAUCCCGCGGCUCAACCGUGGAACUGCCUCAGAUACUGACGGCCUCGAGGGAGGUAGGGGCGAGCGGAACUAAUGGUGGAGCGGUGAAAUGCGUUGAUAUCAUUAGGAACUCCGGUGGCGAAGGCGGCUCGCUGGACCUUUUCUGACGCUGAGGCGCGAAAGCUAGGGGAGCAAACGGGAUUAGAUACCCGUGUAGUC
rnacentral:rRNA from 1 species